ACUUAUUUAGUAUAAAAGUAUGUUUGACUUCCAAUCAAAAGGCCCAGUAAGCUGGAAUAAGUA
rnacentral:tRNA from 2 species